rnacentral:rRNA from 1 species
UACGGGGGGGGCAAGCGUUGUUCGGAAUUACUGGGCGUAAAGGGCUCGUAGGCGGCCAACUAAGUCGGACGUGAAAUCCCUCGGCUUAACCGGGGAACUGCGUCCGAUACUGGAUGGCUUGAGUUUGGGAGAGGGAUGCGGAAUUCCAGGUGUAGCGGUGAAAUGCGUAGAUAUCAGGAGGAACACCUGUGGCGAAAGCGGCUCACUGGACCAUAACUGACGCUGAUGCACGAAAGCUAGGGGAGCAAACAGG